rnacentral:rRNA from 2 species
UAGAAUUCCACGUGUAGCAGUGAAAUGCGUAGAGAUGUGGAGGAAUACCGAUGGCGAAGGCAGCCUCCUGGGAUAACACUGACGUUCAUGCUCGAAAGCGUGGGUAGCAAACAGGAUUAGAUACCCUGGUAGUCCACGCCCUAAACGAUGACAAUUAGCUGUUGGGACACUAGAUGUUUUAGUAGCGAAGCUAACGCGUGAAAUUGUCCGCCUGGGGAGUACGGUCGCAAGAUUAAAACUCAAAGGAAUUGACGGGGACCCGCACAGGCGGUGGAUGAUGUGGAUUAAUUCGAUGCAACGCGAAGAACCUUACCUGGUCUUGACAUGUACGGAAUCUCUUAGAGAUAGGAGAGUGCCUUCGGGAGCCGUAACACAGGUGCUGCAUGGCUGUCGUCAGUUCGUGUCGUGAGAUGUUGGGUUAAGUCCCGCAACGAGCGCAACCCUUGUCAUUAGUUGCCAUCAUUAAGUUGGGCACUCUAAUGAGACUGCCGGUGACAAACCGGAGGAAGGUGGGGAUGACGUCAAGUCCUCAUGGCCCUUAUGACCAGGGCUUCACACGUCAUACAAUGGUCGGUACAGAGGGUAGCGAAGCCGCGAGGUGAAGCCAAUCUCAGAAAGCCGAUCGUAGUCCGGAUUGCACUCUGCAACUCGAGUGCAUGAAGUCGGAAUCGCUAGUAAUCGCAGGUCAGCAUAC